rnacentral:tRNA from 1 species
GGUGUAGCUCAGUGGUAGAGCACUUGUGUGACAUGCAUAACUCCCUGGGUUCAAUCCCCAGCUCC